GAAGAGUAUGUAUAAGGAGUUAUGAGUGUGAGAGGUUAUGAGUUCAAAUCCCACCUUUCUCACUUUUAAGUUAUUUUUUCUCUUUUAUUUAUUUUUCUUUAAUUCUAACUUUUCUAUUUUUAAAACUACAAAAAAAAUCACAAAAUUACAUUAUUUAUUUUUUAUUAUUAAUUUUCGUAUUUAUAAAAUAGGCAUUUUUAAAAAUAAAAAAAAUCGUUUUUUUAACUUUUU
rnacentral:lncRNA from 1 species